AUGGCUCAGAACGAACGCUGGCGGCGCGUUUAAGCAUGCAAGUCGAGCGGCAAGGGCCUUCGGGCCCCUAGAGCGGCGGACGGGUGAGUAACACGUGGACAAUCUGCCCCCCGGCCCGGGAUAGCCCAGGGAAACCUGGAUUAAUACCGGAUGAGACGGGACCCGCGAUGGCGGGAUCCGGGAAAGGCGCUGCGGCGCCGCCGGGGGAUGAGUCUGCGUCCCAUUAGCUAGACGCGGGGUAACGGCCCACCGUGGCGACGAUGGGUAGCCGGCCUGAGAGGGUGGACAGCCACAUUGGAACUGAGACACGGUCCAGACUCCUACGGGAGGCAGCAGCUAAGAAUCUUCCGCAAUGGGCGAAAGCCUGACGGGAAGCGACGCCGCGUGAACGAAGAAGGCCGUGAGGUUGUAAAGUUCUUUUCGGGAGGGGAACAACCGUGGCAGGGAAUGGCCGCGGGAUGACGUGAAUCCCGGAAUAAGCCCCGGCUAACUACGUGCCAGCCGCCGC
rnacentral:rRNA from 1 species